UACAGAGGGGGCAAGCGUUGUUCGGAAUUACUGGGCGUAAAGGGCGCGUAGGCGGCCUUCUAAGUCGAACGUGAAAUCCCCGGGCUCAACCCGGGAACUGCGUCUGAUACUGGAAGGCUUGAAUCCGGGAGAGGGAUGCGGAAUUCCAGGUGUAGCAGUGAAAUGCGUAGAUAUCGUGAGGAACACCAGAGGCGAAGGCGGCUACCUGGACAAUUGCUGACACUCAGGCACGAAAGCGUGGGGAGCAAAAGGG
rnacentral:rRNA from 1 species